rnacentral:rRNA from 1 species
CAUAGCCGCGGUAACACAGAGGAUGCAAGCGUUAUCCGGAGUGAUUGGGCGUAAAGCGUUUGUAGGUGGCUUUUCAAGUCCGCCGUCAAAUCCCAGGGCUCAACCCUGGACAGGCGGUGGGAAACUACCAAGCUGGAGUACGGUAGGGGUAGAGGGAAUUUUCGGUGGAGCGGUGAAAUGCGUUGAGAUCGGAAAGAACACCAACGGUGAAAGCACCCUGCUGGGCCGACACUGACACUGAGAGACGAAAGCUAGGGGAGCAAAUGGGAUUAGAUACCCCCGUAGUCCCUGUCUCUUAUAC